ACGCUGGCGGCAGGCCUAACACAUGCAAGUCGAGCGGAAACGACACUAACAAUCCUUCGGGUGCGUUAAUGGGCGUCGAGCGGCGGACGGGUGAGUAAUGCCUAGGAAAUUGCCUUGAUGUGGGGGAUAACCAUUGGAAACGAUGGCUAAUACCGCAUAAUGCCUACGGGCCAAAGAGGGGGACCUUCGGGCCUCUCGCGUCAAGAUAUGCCUAGGUGGGAUUAGCUAGUUGGUGAGGUAAUGGCUCACCAAGGCGACGAUCCCUAGCUGGUCUGAGAGGAUGAUCAGCCACACUGGAACUGAGACACGGUCCAGACUCCUACGGGAGGCAGCAGUGGGGAAUAUUGCACAAUGGGCGAAAGCCUGAUGCAGCCAUGCCGCGUGUAUGAAGAAGGCCUUCGGGUUGUAAAGUACUUUCAGUUGUGAGGAAGGGGGURKHGUUAAUAGCKSYRYMUCUUGACGUUAGCAACAGAAGAAGCACCGGCUAACUCCGUGCCAGCAGCCGCGGUAAUACGGAGGGUGCGAGCGUUAAUCGGAAUUACUGGGCGUAAAGCGCAUGCAGGUGGUUCAUUAAGUCAGAUGUGAAAGCCCGGGGCUCAACCUCGGAACUGCAUUUGAAACUGGUGAACUAGAGUACUGUAGAGGGGGGUAGAAUUUCAGGUGUAGCGGUGAAAUGCGUAGAGAUCUGAAGGAAUACCAGUGGCGAAGGCGGCCCCCUGGACA
rnacentral:rRNA from 1 species